GAUAAGUUGAUAGUGGGAAGUCGAGCCAUAUGGUGCAACAAUGAUUGUGCAAUGAUAACAGACCGAAAACAUAUAAAUAUGGGGGCAGUAGUGUGGUUUGGGUUCUAAGGUUCUUAAUUAUAUCAUAUCACAAUGCACCUUUUCUG
ensembl:ncRNA R02E12.9 ncRNA